rnacentral:rRNA from 1 species
UGCAAGAAACGUGUUUAUUUGGAAGUAAAAGUCGUAACAAGGUCUCCGUUGGUGAACCAGCGGAGGGAUCAUUACUGAGUUUACGCUCUACAACCCUUUGUGAACAUACCUAUAACUGUUGCUUCGGCGGGUAGGGUCUCCGCGACCCUCCCGGCCUCCCGCCUCCGGGCGGGUCGGCGCCCGCCGGAGGAUAACCAAACUCUGAUUUAACGACGUUUCUUCUGAGUGGUACAAGCAAAUAAUCAAAACUUUUAACAACGGAUCUCUUGGUUCUGGCAUCGAUGAAGAACGCAGCGAAAUGCGAUAAGUAAUGUGAAUUGCAGAAUUCAGUGAAUCAUCGAAUCUUUGAACGCACAUUGCGCCCGCCAGCAUUCUGGCGGGCAUGCCUGUUCGAGCGUCAUUUCAACCCUCAAGCUCUGCUUGGUGUUGGGGCCCUACAGCCGAUGUAGGCCCUCAAAGGUAGUGGCGGACCCUCCCGGAGCCUCCUUUGCGUAGUAACUUUACGUCUCGCACUGGGAUCCGGAGGGACUCUUGCCGUAAAACCCCCCAAUUUUCCAAAGGUUGACCUCGGAUCAGGUAGGAAUACCCGCUGAACUUAAGCAUAUCAAUAAGCCGGAGGAAAAAGCAAGACG